rnacentral:rRNA from 1 species
CUACGAGGUGCACCAGUGGGGAAUAUUGCACAAUGGGCGCAAGCCUGAUGCAGCCAUGCCGCGUGUAUGAAGAAGGCCUUCGGGUUGUAAAGUACUUUCAGCGGGGAGGAAGGGAGUAAAGUUAAUACCUUUGCUCAUUGACGUUACCCGCAGAAGAAGCACCGGCUAACUCCGUGCCAGCAGCCGCGGUAAUACGGAGGGUGCAAGCGUUAAUCGGAAUUACUGGGCGUAAAGCGCACGCAGGCGGUUUGUUAAGUCAGAUGUGAAAUCCCCGGGCUCAACCUGGGAACUGCAUCUGAUACUGGCAAGCUUGAGUCUCGUAGAGGGGGGUAGAAUUCCAGGUGUAGCGGUGAAAUGCGUAGAGAUCUGGAGGAAUACCGGUGGCGAAGGCGGCCCCCUGGACGAAGACUGACGCUCAGGUGCGAAAGCGUGGGGAGCAAACAGGAUUAGAUACCCCAGUAGUC